rnacentral:rRNA from 1 species
GGGGAAUUUUAGACAAUGGGCGCAAGCCUGAUCCAGCAAUGCCGCGUGCAGGAUGAAGGCCUUCGGGUUGUAAACUGCUUUUGUACGGAACGAAAAAGCUCUCUCUAAUACAGGGGGUGAAUGACGGUACCGUAAGAAUAAGCACCGGCUAACUACGUGCCAGCAGCCGCGGUAAUACGUAGGAUGAAAGCGUUAAUCGGAAUUACUGGGCGUAAAGCGUGCGCAGGCGGGUUUGUAAGACAGAGGUGAAAUCCCCGGGCUCAACCUGGGAACUGCCUUGGUGACUGCAAAGCUGGAGUGCGGCAGAGGGGGAUGGAAUUCCGCGUGUAGCAGUGAAAUGCGUAGAUAUGCGGAGGAACACCGAUGGCGAAGGCAGUCCCCUGGGCCUGUACUGACGCUCAUGCACGAAAGCGUGGGGAGCAAACA